rnacentral:rRNA from 1 species
CCUAACGGCUGACCAGCAACUUGGAGGAAUGUAUAGGGAAAACUAGUAAAAUGUGAUGUACCUAGUAAUAUUAGUGAUUAAUAUGAGAUUAACAAAGUUAAUUAAAAUUCAAAGUAUAUACUUGAUUAUGACAUUAUGUGCUUAUGUCUUGACCAAGUCACGUGCCAGCAGUCGCGGUAAUACGUGGAAGAUUAGUGUUAUUCAUCUUUAACAGGUAUAUAGGGUACCUAGACGGUUAAUUAAGCUUGAUAAUGUACUAGUUAACUAGAGUUUAAUGUAAGAAGGAUUGAGUACGGUGAGUGGAGAGAUAAAAUUCAGUGAUACCACUUAGGAACUGGUAAAGGCGAAGGCAACUUCUAUGUAAAAACAGACGUUGAGGGACGAAGGCUUAUAUUAAAGAAUAGGAUUAGAGACCCUAGUAUUGUAAGCAGACAAUGAUGAGUGUCAUAUGCAAGAACUUUUUUGUGUAUAAAUGAAAGUGCAAGCACUCCACCUCAAGAGUAACAUGGCAACAUGGGAACUGAAAUCAUUAGACCGUUUCUGAAACUCGUAGUGAAGUAUGUUGUUUAAUUUGAUCAUACCCAAAUAACCUUACCACAAUUUGUAUAACUAUAGUAAAUAAUAAUAUAGUAACAAGUGUUGCACGGUUGUCUUCAGUCAAUGUUGUGAAACUUUGGUUAGAUCCGAGGAAUUGACGUAAACCCUUGCUUUAUUUGNUAUAGAGUAGUUCGNCGCUAUAUUGGUAGUGAUAUAAGGGACCAAGACAAAUCAUCAUGACCUAAAUAUUGUGGGCUAUAGAC